rnacentral:rRNA from 1 species
CAUAGCGACUAUCGUGGCAUAUCAAUAAGCGGAGGAAAAGAAACUAACAAGGAUUCCCUUAGUAACGGCGAGUGAAGCGGGAAGAGCUCAAAUUUGAAAUCUUCAAGGUUCUACCUUGACGAAUUGUAGUUUAUAGAAGUGUUUUCUGUUAGUAGAGUGGCAAAAGUUCUUUGGAAUAGGACAUCAUAGAGGGUGAGAAUCCCGUAUUUGGUCAUUCUUUCUAGCUUUGUGAUACACUUUCAACGAGUCGGAUUGUUUGGGAAUGCAGUCCAAAAUGGGUGGUAAAUUUCAUCUAAAGCUAAAUAUUGGCGAGAGACCGAUAGCGAACAAGUACCGUGAGGGAAAGAUGAAAAGAACUUUGAAAAGAGAGUUAAACAGUACGUGAAAUUGUCAAAAGGGAAGCGUUUGACACCAGUGUUGUUUUUCCGAAAAUCAAUUACGAAUGUUUUAUUUUUGAGAAGUUAUGACUUCAUCGGCUUGCUUCUUCUUUACUGAAACUUUCUUAAUGCACUUUUCGGUUAACAAGUCAACAUCAAUUUCUUUUGUUGUAAAAGGGUAUGAGGAAGGUGGCUUUCUUUUCGGAGAAAGUGUUUAUAGCCUUGUACCUCUGCAAUCGGAGAGAUUGAGGUCUGCAGCGUAGAUCCUUCGGGGUUAGAUACAUUUGUGCUAAGUUAUAGCUUUUCAUAGACAACUUGUUGACUAUGUUUAGUCUUGUAGCUUACUCGCUUAUGCUAUUUUACCUACGCUUAGGAUGUUGAUAUGCAUGACUGAUAU